GUAGGGAAUAUUGCGCAAUGGACGAAAGUCUGACGCAGCAACGCCGCGUGUGGGAUGAAGCUUCUUGGAGUGUAAACCACUGUCGGAAGGGACGAAUGAUUACGGCUCUAACAUAGUCGUAGUUUGACGGUACCUUUAGAGGAAGCUCCGGCUAACUCCGUGCCAGCAGCCGCGGUAAUACGGGGGGAGCAAGCGUUGUUCGGAAUCACUGGGCGUAAAGGGUGCGCAGGCGGGAGAUUAAGUCGGAUGUGAAAACCUCGGGCUCAACCCGAGGCCUGCAUUUGAAACUGAUCUUCUUGAGUAUCGGAGAGGAAAGCGGAACUCCAGGUGUAGCGGUGAAAUGCGUAGAUAUCUGGAGGAACACCUGUGGCGAAGGCGGCUUUCUGGCCGAAUACUGACGCUCAUGCACGAAGGCUAGGGGAGCAAACAGGAUUAGAAACCCCUGUAGUCC
rnacentral:rRNA from 1 species